rnacentral:rRNA from 1 species
UACAGAGGGUGCGAGCGUUGUCCGGAAUCACUGGGCGUAAAGGGCGCGUAGGCGGUCUCUUAAGCGUGUGGUGAAAGCCCGGGGCUCAACUCCGGGUCGGCCGUGCGAACUGGGGGACUGGAGCUUGUCAGAGGCAGGCGGAAUUCCGGGGUGUAGCGGUGGAAUGCGUAGAGAUCCGGAAGAACACCGGUGGCGAAGGCGGUCUGCUGGGCCAAGACUGACGCUGAGGCGCGACAGCGUGGGGAGCAAACAGG